rnacentral:rRNA from 1 species
AGAGUUUGAUCAUGGCUCAGAAUGAACGUUGCGGCGUGGAUUAGGCAUGCAAGUCGUACGCAUAGCUUCGGCUAUGAGUGGCGCAAGGGUGAGUAAUGCGAAGGUAACCAACCCUGGUGUUGGGCAUAGCCGCGGGAAACUGCGGGUAAUUCCCAGCGACGUCACGAGAUGGCAUCAUCUUGUGACCAAAGGUGUGAUUCCGCUCUAGGACGGGCCUUCGUGGUAUUAGGUAGUUGGUGAGGUAACGGCUCACCAAGCCGACGAUGCCUACCGGGUGUGAGAGCAUGACCCGGCACACUGGAACUGAGACACUGUCCAGACACCUACGGGUGGCUGCAGUCGAGAAUCUUCGGCAAUGGCGAAAGCCUGACCGAGCGACGCCGCGUGAGGGAUUGAAGGCCUUCGGGUUGUAAACCUCUUUCGUAGAGGAGGAGGGGGCCGUGAAGAACGGUCUUUGACCUAUUCUAGGAAGAAGCUUGGGCUAAGUUCGUGC